UACGGGGGGGCAAGCGUUGUUCGGAAUUACUGGGCGUAAAGGCUCGUAGGCGGCCAACUAAGUCAGACGUGAAAUCCCUCGGCUUAACCGGGAACUGCGUCUGAUACUGGAUGGCUUGAGUUUGGGAGAGGGAUGCGGAAUUCCAGGUGUAGCGGUGAAAUGCGUAGAUAUCUGGAGGAACACCGGUGGCGAAGGCGGCAUCCUGGACCAACACUGACGCUGAGGAGCGAAAGCCAGGG
rnacentral:rRNA from 1 species